CAUCCUCUGGUGCAGCCUUUGCUUUUUCCCAUUGCAUUCAAUCUCAUCAUUGAAAUGGGUUUGUAUGUGGGUCCAUCUGGUUCCUUCCUGCAGUACUCUGGAGGGUGCUGUGUACACAACUGCGGUGCUGGGCACAGUGUUUGCUGGGUGAUACCUCUGGGUGCAAGCUGGGGUAGGAAGGAACAUAAAGUACCACAGUGUCUCCAUGUUGGGCAUGGGGAUGUCUCUCUCAGCCACAUGUUGUAAUACACCACUAGGGCUUGGGAUGCAGUGGUGUUCUCAUCUGCUACCUGAGCCACUGUCAUGGAAGCGAGGAGUUGGUGGUGCAGUUGCCAGCAGCAAUGCCAACUCUUCCCCCAUGGAUACCAGUGCAUCAGCCCAGCAUGGAGUGUUUCAGCUCAGCAGCAUUGUGCGUUUCCCCACACAGUGGCAGGUGAUACCAAAGGUGGUGACCCCAGGCUGGCAGCACUGCUGUUGCUUCACCCCAUCACACCUUAAACAACCCGAGUGCAAUUAAUCACCGUUUGCUUCUCUGUGUUUGCAUGGGAUUCCUUAUCCGCAGUAAAUCCUGGGGGGAACAGAUGCAAUUAUGAAAGAAACACCUAUUAAAAAGAACUGUAUUUGCCAUAAAAAAUGUCAGGACAGUUGUCCUUUAGCUGUUUGCAGCGUUGCCAGCUGCAGUAUAUGAUCCUGGUUUCCAGCCAGGCUGUGGGGAGCAGGAUGGGAGAGGAAGGGGCAGCACACAGCUGGAAACCAGAGAAGGGAUCAAUGAUUUGCUGUCAAGCAAAAGGAUGGAUCGAGCAACUUUCUGCAGGAAUCUGCCCUUGGUCUAAUAGGAGUCAGUGUUUUCCCUAACGAUCCGAAUGAUGGAAUAUUCACUGCUACCUCCACAGAGGGCUGAGAUGGGAAUAAGUGCUGCAGUUGCAAGAGAAGGAGACUUCUCAUGGCCUGGCAAGAAGGACAGCUCAUGCUGAGUGCUCUGCUGGGGGCUGGGGGGGCCCCAUUGAGUCACAGAAUUACAAAUGUCGGUAAGAUCUCUAAGAUCAGUGAGUCCAACCACCAGCCCAUCCCACCACGUCCCUCAGUGCCACAUCUACACACUUCUUGAAUGCUGCUGGGGGUGGUGAUUCCUCUGCUGGGCAGCCUGUGCUGGUGCAUAUCCAUUGGAAGGGAUGAAGAAGAGCUUGCAGAAAUCUCUCUGGAGGGAUGGAGCUCACUCAGCAAGGCAGGGCCAACCCCCAGCUUCUUCCAUCCUCAACUUCUGUGAGCCCACCUUGUUCCAAAAGCAGCAUUUCAUCUCCUCUGAUUUCUAGGGAAAGGUACCUUAUAACUUUGGAAGCGAAACCUGGUGCCUUUAUCUCAAACGCUUCAGGAGACAUUAACCCAGCUCUCCCAACACAGGGCAGGAAGGGGGGAGCCUGCAAACACAGCCAGAGCGGGCUCAGGUUUGAGCAGCCUGGCUGCCAUGGAAAAGCAUUGGGCUUCUGAACACAGGGAGUGUGAGCAAUGUUAUUGGUAUGAAAUGAGGAUAAAUAAAUAAAAAAAGUCCAUCCA
ensembl:lncRNA